CGGUGGCAUAGUGGUUAGAAUGUCCGCCCCGUAAUCGAGAGGUCUCGGGUUCGAACCCCGGCAGAAUGA